CCGGAGCAGCUGACAGGUAGCGGCCCGGCGAGGGAGCUUCAAGGAUGGCGGCGGCCGCGGCGCUGAUCCUGCGGGAGAGCCCCAGCAUGAAAAAAGCAGUGUUGCUGAUAAAUGCAAUAGAUAUAGGAAGAUUUCCACGGCUGCUCACCCGAAUUCUUCAAAAACUUCACCUGAAGGCUGAGAACAGUUUCAGUGAAGAAGAGGAAGAAAAACUUCAAGCUGCAUUUUCUCUAGAAAAACAAGAUCUUCACCUAGUUCUUGAAACAAUAUCAUUCAUUUUAGAACAGGCAGUAUAUCACAAUGUGAAGCCAGCAGCUUUGCAGCAGCAGUUAGAGAACAUUCAUCUUAGACAAGACAAAGCAGAAGCAUUUGUCAAUACUUGGUCUUCCAUGGGUCAAGAAACAGUCGAAAAAUUCAGGCAGAGGAGUCUUGCUCCCCACAAGCUAGAGACGGUCGGAUGGCAGCUUAACCUUCAGAUGGCUCACUCUGCUCAAGCAAAACUAAAAUCUCCUCAAGCUGUGUUACAGCUAGGAGUGAGCAAUGAAGAUUCAAAGAGAUGGGUUUUAGGGUUUAACAGUGCAGAAGGUGAUCAUUUCAUGCAGACUAGACUAUUCUGGAAGGGAGAAGAAAUCCCUUUGGAAAAUACCAUAUUGUAUCCCAGCAUAACAUUUCUAAGUUUUGUUGCUACCAGUCAGCUUAUUUUAAUUGCAUUUAGAUUCAGAUAUGACCAUCUCCCAUGGUUUCACUUUUGUUGACUCUGCUUACACUGUUUUACACGAUAAUUAUCUUAAAGAAAUAAAAUUAAAAUCCCAAGUCAGUUGGCUUAAACUAUGGAGAGUAUCUAGAUGAGCCUGACUCAAUCAGGUGUGUUCUUUACAAGCAAAAAGUUUUCUCUGGCUGGUAGCAGAAGAAAAAGUUAAAGAUUCAAAGUGUGCAAAGGACUGCAUAUGUUGCUGGUUUGAAGAUGGAGAAAUUGCUGAGAAAGAAUGAGGGCAACCUCUAGGAACAGAGAGUGGCUCAAUGUUGAUGGCAAGGAAACAGACCAUCAGCGGCAAGAAUUAGAAGCUGCUACCAACCGCUUUGAAGCAGCUCUUCCCCAGAGCUUCCACGGAAGAACCCAGCCUGACUGACACCUGAUUACAGCCCUGGCAGCCUUGGCUUGUUCACUUGGUUUAGCGAGAGCAUGAAACGACACAGGCUUCUUGAGGCCUAGGUGCAGAAUUGGCACACGUGCUAUUUUCAUCACAUUCUGUUGGCCAAAGUAAGUCAAGAGAACAGGCCAGAUUCAAGGAGUAGCGAAACAGAUUCUAAUUAUUGAUGGGAGAUGCUAUUGAGUCAUUUCAGAGGUAAUCUCUAACUGGAGACCUGAAAGAAGUAUGCACGUCUUGAGGAAGAAUGGUCUGUAAGAAGAAACAGCAAAUGCAAAGGCCCUAAGAAGGAAGGAUGCUUACUGUAUUUCCAGAAUAGUGAGGAGGCUACUGUGGCCUCAAGAGUCAACUCUGUGGUGAGGAGGAUGGGCGUUUCAGUUGAUAAGGUGAGAGUAAUGAUGGUGGGAGAAGAUGGAAUCCUGUAGAGCCUUAUGGGCCCUGGUAAAAAUUCUCAGUGGGUAAUUUUGAGCAGAAG